rnacentral:rRNA from 1 species
UACGGAGGGUGCGAACGUUAAUCGGAAUCACUGGGCGUAAAGCGCGCGUAGGCGGUUUGCUAAGUGGGAUGUGAAAUCCCCGGGCUUAACCUGGGAAUUGCAUUUCAAACUGGCCGACUAGAGUACGGUAGAGGGAGGUAGAAUUUCCUGUGUAGCGGUGAAAUGCGUAGAUAUAGGAAGGAAUACCAGUGGCGAAGGCGGCCUCCUGGAUCGAUACUGACGCUGAGGUGCGAAAGCGUGGGGAGCAAACAGG